AAAAAAGUUUGACAUUGUAUUGAUUUGAUAUUAUAACUCAUGAAGUAUUGUAGUUCGCAACUCCGAUGGUGCCAACAAAUAAACUUGAAUUAUGAUCUUCUGAUUAUAAUUUGACCAUUUGAUCUCCUUUUGAUUAUGAGUCUUAUAAUAAAUAAUCAAUGUUU